rnacentral:lncRNA from 1 species
UUUAAUAUAAAUGUGCCUUCAAUAACAUUAAAUCUUACUUGUUCUGGUUUGAUGAAAUGUAAAUCUUACUAAAUUAUGCAUAAAACGACUAAUUGAAGAUCUGCUCUGCUCUCUCUUUGCGCUCGAUCAGUCAAUUUCUUGGCUUCUCCCUCCUUCCCUCCGCGGCUGUUACUCCUCCUACUUCUUCGAUUGCUGUUAGGUACCAAAUUCUAUACCAGAUGUUUGAUAUGUAUAUAUGUGUGUAUUAUGUUAUGUUUGAAUCUUUGGUAUGUGGUUUUUCUUUUUCUUUACCUCUUUAAUUUUUGACUGUAGUUUCAGAGCCUCUGGUUUCUAUUCAAUUCCAUUUUUUGUUAAUUUAUGUGGUUCAAAUGUUUGAUGGUGGGUGGUGAGUUUUUUCUGCACACGUUCUUAUGAAACUUCAAUCCCAUUUGACAUUUGUAGAGAAAUAUUGGUGUUCAAGAUAUUUAGGAGAAAAAUGAUUGUUUUCUUUCAGUAGUUAGUUACUUGUUUGAAUUGAGGUGUUAAUUGAUGCUAAGGAGUAUAGUCUCUACUUUUCAUUAACUUUGAUUAUUGAUUUAUAUGUUGUUUUUAAUUAGUUGGCAGCUUAUACUGUACAUGAUUGAUGAAAUUCCUCAAUGAGUAUUACUGUAUACUGUUCAGAAAAUAAAUCACCAGUGAUGACUAUAUUAAGUCGUGAGCUAAGUAGUGUGUCCAUAUUGAUUAAUUAAAAAGUGUAAAAGAACUUUCUAAAAAAGUGGGGAGCCAAGUGGAAUGAUUGACUAAGCUGCCUAAAAUUCGUUCCAUUGGAAAAGUAGAAGAUUGUUCUUUGGUCUUUUUUUUUGAUCGGCUUGUUCUCUGGUCAUUUGGGCAGUAAGGUCACAAUUAUCCAUUGAUAAUGUAUUAGUUUAUUUUACAUUUUUACAUUUUUGAGUUGGGGAAAAGCAACCGGAGAUUCAAUUUAUUCUGCCAAAACUAAACAAUGGAUAAGCAGUCAUGUAACUAGGAGAAGGAGAAUGUAAUUGAUUUGACUGUUAGUUGUGCCAUUAAUGUGUGAUUUCAUGAUUUUUAUGUGAUUUAUAUACAUGAGGAGAGGAUGUAUGUGACGUUUCACUGAAUGAUUGCUGCUGGAUAAUUUUUUCACAUAGUUGUGCUAAUUAAAUCAUUUGCUAUAGUUUUACAAGAGCAAGAUGCCAAGAAUAAAAUUAGAAGUCAUGGCUUGAAGUGACAUAAUUUGGCAGGUAUUCUAGUACUUUGGCCCUAUGCACACAUCAUGUCAGGAUUUCUUAUUGCUAAAACUCAGAAGAUCUUAACAAACUUUGCACUAAAUAAUUUCCAAAAAACUACUGUACAAAUCAGGAAAGAAUUUGAUAAUCUGUCAUAUAAAAGGACUAUUCCUCUCUUUUCCAGUUCAAACUGUCGUUAUGGGCAUAGAAGGUUUCUUGGGAAGAGACCUUAUAUGCUACUGGUGUGGAAAUCUACAUUUGUAUCACGGGGAUUAGGUAUAUGAACAUGUAGUUGGAACUGCAUUAACUUGAAAUUGGACAUUACUUGAAAGGAAUUCAUUUGUUUUUCUAUGUAUUCUUGAAAUAAAUUUGUAAAAGCUAGUGCCCUUACCAUUUACCUGGGAUGUCCAAAUGUAGGCUUAAUAUAGCUUCUCAUUGCUGCCAUGGCUUACAAUUUACUAUAAAUAAUGAUCAUUAUUUUGGAAUAGAGAUUUUACAUUGACUGGGUACUUCUACUAUGGAAUAGUUCAGAAUUUUACUCUGGAAUAUGAUAUGAAUCAAUGUAUCUUUUUAUUAAGGUCCUUUUUAGUAAUCUCUACAUUUGAUUUUAACUUAUAAUUCAUUAUCAGCCGAAAACUUUCAUAACUUGUUUGAACUUAAUUUCUGACUUAUAAGUGCCGAACACUUUUACUUAUAAGUCACAACUUAAAAUAACUUAUAAGUCAACUUAUAUUUUAACUUUAAGUCAUUUUAAAAUAAGUCGUUGCCGAACGGGCUCUUAGUGCCGCUCUGCUCUGUGUUUUCAAAUUCAAAGCAAAACUCAUCAAACCAGCUUCUCAGGUAUGGAACCCGUAGCUUCAGUGGUGGACAAGAUGAGAGGACUAGCAAAAUCCACGCAUGACUUCGCUAACGACAUCCUCCACUGGCGCGACACUUCCAAUCUCCGGAAUCCGG